rnacentral:tRNA from 2 species
GGCGAGAUGGCCGAGUGGUCUAAGGCGCUGUGUUCAGGUCACAUUAAUACCUCCGCAGUCUUCGGACGUGGGUUCGAAUCCCACUCUCGUCA